GCAUGUUUAGAUUUGGGAUUUGACCUGUACAUGGUUCUGUCUCAGUGUACGACAUGCUAAACUAACUUGACUCCAAACCAUUGGCUGGUCUUCUACAGUAGACCAAAUCACUGAAGUGAGUCGGACAUUA
rnacentral:snoRNA from 1 species